AAUUGAAGAGUUUGAUCAUGGCUCAGAUUGAACGCUGGCGGCAGGCCUAACACAUGCAAGUCGAACGGUAACAGGAAGAAGCUUGCUUCUUUGCUGACGAGUGGCGGACGGGUGAGUAAUGUCUGGGAAACUGCCUGAUGGAGGGGGAUAACUACUGGAAACGGUAGCUAAUACCGCAUAACGUCGCAAGACCAAAGAGGGGGACCUUCGGGCCUCUUGCCAUCGGAUGUGCCCAGAUGGGAUUAGCUAGUAGGUGGGGUAACGGCUCACCUAGGCGACGAUCCCUAGCUGGUCUGAGAGGAUGACCAGCCACACUGGAACUGAGACACGGUCCAGACUCCUACGGGAGGCAGCAGUGGGGAAUAUUGCACAAUGGGCGCAAGCCUGAUGCAGCCAUGCCGCGUGUAUGAAGAAGGCCUUCGGGUUGUAAAGUACUUUCAGCGGGGUGUAAAGGAGUAAAGUUAAUACCUUUGCUCAUUGACGUUACCCGCAGANGAAGCAC
rnacentral:rRNA from 1 species